UCGUUUAAAGUUGUUUCACAUUGUUUAUAAUUGUGAUUAUGUUAUCCCUCACCUAUAUGUUUAAUGUCAGCUAUGCUAAAUAACCCAUUUCUGUGUAAUUUGAGAUAAUGUUUUUGUCAUGUGCUUAAAGUAUGGCCUGCUAUUCAUGUCAUCAUUUAAAAAGUCAAUCCUAAAUAAAAUCUGUCUUUAAAAAAUACAUUUUACAAAUGACAUUUAAUAUGAUUAGAGUAUAGGAAUCCAUAUAUAUAUAAGAGAUAUUAUUUUUGCAUUACAUUUAUAAGAGGCAUUGUCUCAUGUAAUUUAAAUCAUAAUAACAAAAAUGGGUUUUAUUUUUCUAUACAGUCCUCAAACCUGGAAGAUAUGUUUUGUUCCUAACCAAUCCAUUCUCUAAGUGAAGUGAAGCCUGGCUGUUGGUCUUCCUUUGGGGAAAUACACAGGGAAAAGAAAAAAAACUACUUGAGUGUUUCUACUGACCCCCUCCAGAGAUCUGCUUAUGAGUGCAUGGGGAUUGCGGUGGACCUUCAUCUCCGGUUUAAAACAGACAUUAGAGUAUGACAGAUAAAAAGUAGAAUCCAUGACCCCCCAGGCAGGGAGGUGGCUCUGACUGUAGAAUGAGCUGAAAGUAGGAGAAAAGCCGUAUUUAUACAGUGGAUGACGUCACAAU